rnacentral:rRNA from 1 species
UACAGAGGUCUCAAGCGUUGUUCGGAUUCAUUGGGCGUAAAGGGUGCGUAGGCGGCGCGGUAAGUCGGGUGUGAAAUCUUGGAGCUUAACUCCGAAACUGCAUUCGAUACUGCCGUGCUUGAGGACUGGAGAGGAGACUGGAAUUUACGGUGUAGCGGUGAAAUGCGUAGAUAUCGUCAAGAACACCGAUAGCGAAGGCAGCUUACUAGACUGUAACUGACGCUGAUGCACGAAAGUGUGGGGAUCAAACAGG